GGACAGUGCGGCGGUGCUAAUACAUGCAGUAGAACGCUGAAGAGAGGAGCUUGCUCUUCUUGGAUGAGUUGCGAACGGGUGAGUAACGCGUAGGUAACCUGCCUUGUAGCGGGGGAUAACUAUUGGAAACGAUAGCUAAUACCGCAUAACAAUGGAUGACACAUGUCAUUUAUUUGAAAGGGGCAAUUGCUCCACUACAAGAUGGACCUGCGUUGUAUUAGCUAGUAGGUGAGGUAAUGGCUCACCUAGGCGACGAUACAUAGCCGACCUGAGAGGGUGAUCGGCCACACUGGGACUGAGACACGGCCCAGACUCCUACGGGAGGCAGCAGUAGGGAAUCUUCGGCAAUGGGGGCAACCCUGACCGAGCAACGCCGCGUGAGUGAAGAAGGUUUUCGGAUCGUAAAGCUCUGUUGUAAGUCAAGAACGGGUGUGAGAGUGGAAAGUUCACACUGUGACGGUAGCUUACCAGAAAGGGACGGCUAACUACGUGCCAGCAGCCGCGGUAAUACGUAGGUCCCGAGCGUUGUCCGGAUUUAUUGGGCGUAAAGCGAGCGCAGGCGGUUUGAUAAGUCUGAAGUUAAAGGCUGUGGCUCAACCAUAGUUCGCUUUGGAAACUGUCAAACUUGAGUGCAGAAGGGGAGAGUGGAAUUCCAUGUGUAGCGGUGAAAUGCGUAGAUAUAUGGAGGAACACCGGUGGCGAAAGCGGCUCUCUGGUCUGUAACUGACGCUGAGGCUCGAAAGCGUGGGGAGCGAACAGGAUUAGAUACCCUGGUAGUCCACGCCGUAAACGAUGAGUGCUAGGUGUUGGAUCCUUUCCGGGAUUCAGUGCCGCAGCUAACGCAUUAAGCACUCCGCCUGGGGAGUACGACCGCAAGGUUGAAACUCAAAGGAAUUGACGGGGGCCCGCACAAGCGGUGGAGCAUGUGGUUUAAUUCGAAGCAACGCGAAGAACCUUACCAGGUCUUGACAUCCCGAUGCUAUUUCUAGAGAUAGAAAGUUACUUCGGUACAUCGGUGACAGGUGGUGCAUGGUUGUCGUCAGCUCGUGUCGUGAGAUGUUGGGUUAAGUCCCGCAACGAGCGCAACCCCUAUUGUUAGUUGCCAUCAUUCAUUUGGGCACUCUACCGAGACUGCCGGUAUAAACCGGAGGAAAGGGGGGGGAUAACGUCCAAACAUCCAUGGCCCCUUAUAACCUGGGGCUACACC
rnacentral:rRNA from 1 species